AAUAAACAAGGGUUUGUCUUUGCAAAAUUUGCUAGUAUGAAUGCUGUCAUUUGUUUUCCUUUCCUUUAUUUGGAUAAAUAACUAUCUAUUGUCAAAUUUUGUUAGUCUUGAAAUGAUCCUUGUAUGGUAGUGUCUUAGAUUCUUAUGAUUGUUGCUGACUUCCUGAACUCAUAUCCAUCAUGCUAUAUUUUUCUUAUUUCAUGUUGAAGGCAGGCUUUGUAAUUUAUGAUUUGAGGUAAACACUGCCCAACAUGAAGUUAGUCAUAGGUUCUGCUUUGUAAUUAUACAAUGAAGUUAGGCUAAAACCAAACUAAUUCCUUUAUUGGAGUCGAUAUAUCGACAUUGCUUUUCUGCAGAUCAUUUCACAGAUACCUUGUUUGAAAAUUUUCAAAAUAUGAUUUAAGUUUAAUUCCCAACUUUAAUUGACCAUUUCUUCUUGAUGUUGAAUGAUGGGCAGAUUGAUCUAUCAUAUUAUGAGUUGUUCGGGAGUCUUAAGUUAGUUCUAUUAAAUGGUUCCAAGCUUCCAAGUAAACAAGAGGCACUAAAAGAAUCAGUCAUUGAAAUCUUUAACUGCAAAGAGGGCGAAUUUGCAUACCCUUGGGUUGAGAAAGUCAUUGUGGGACAGGUCUGACAUGAGAGUUUAAGUUGUGUUAUUCUAUAUUAUUUAACUAUUAUCCAUUCUUAUUGUGAUAUUAAUUAUUUAACUGUCUUGCUUUUUCUUGAUUUGUUAUGCCGGUAUCAUUAUAUUUUGAUGAUGUAGUUUUCCCUAAACAUAACUAACUUCUUGGAAUAACUUAUUUUCUAGGAUGUGACUCCCAAUAAGGAGAAUUACUAGCAACCUGAUAGUGUUUAGCAUACCUAGUUAUGUUCAAGUUAUUGAAUAUCUAGUAUAGUUACUUUUGUCUUACUGAGAUAGCAUGUAUUCAAACUUAUUUGAUUCACAGGAGGCCUUAAAGCCAAUGUUAAAGCAUAAAGCUAUCUUUUGCAAACCCUGCUUACCACCCUCUAAAAAUGACAAAUAAUUAAUAAAUAGAUAAAAACAAAAAUAAAAAUAGUCUUACUAAAGUUUCUUUGGACUUUGGUUUGAUUCAAUUAUCAAAUUUUUAGCUCAGC